AACUCCCUUCCUAAAAAGCAAGAACUUAACUCACACUCUACAAAACACACUCUAGAAGUAAUGGCAGUUGGUGGAAAGGCGGCGUUGGCGCUACUCCUUUGCGUCAUGGUGGCAAACACGGUGGAGGCUGCCGUGACCUGCCAGAUGGUGGUCAGUAGCCUAACACCGUGUGCCUCCUACCUCACUGCACGAGGCCCUGUAACAACCUCAUGCUGCAAUGGUAUAACCUCACUCUAUAAGGCUGCAUCAACCACGGUCGACCGUCAGACCGCCUGCAAGUGCAUGGAACAAGCCGCCGGCAUGGUUCCCGGAAUCAACCUUAACGCUGCUAGUAGCCUCCCUGGGAAAUGCGGUGUCAGCAUCCCCUACAAGAUCAGCCCUACUACUGA
rnacentral:lncRNA from 1 species